CACCACGAGGAUGGAGCUGCAAGGAGCCAGGCUCUCCCUCACACACACAUCCUUUUUAAACAGUCACGAUAAGUGAUGCUACAUUCCCGCUUUAAAUGUUGCUGUAACACCACUGACACAUUUGGCACUGUUCAUGCAAAACCCACCUUCAGCUUUCAAGCGCUUGCUGUCUGUUUCCCACUGGCACUGUAAUUCUGAAAAAGGUUGUGUCCUGACAGUCUGCCUUUAAAAAUGGUCGAGCUGUGACUCCACACUCACAGGAAGACAGCAGUGACUGCACUGACUCCAUCUCUGUUUGUUUUUCUAUUACACAGCCUGUCUGAGACAAGUUUUGACCAGCUUUGCAAUGAGAUGUGAUAACUUUCUACUGCUCAAUUUAACUGCAAAAAUUGCUGUGAGCUGCAAAUCCACAUGGUGAAGUUCAGACUGAGUUGCUGUCAGAGGUAUGGAGAGAAACUUCAUGGAAAUCAAGAGACUCCUUCUCUUGUUCUCCAUCCUUUUGAGGAGGCAGGAAAAGAGCAGAUUUUGCCCAUCAAGAUGGAGGCCAGUUAUGCCUGGUGCUUGCUCUGGGACUGCUGUGUUUUGGAUUCUGCAUGCUCCUUUCUAACCCAAAUGUGAUAAAAACUUGCUUUAUAAGGAGUGAUUUGUGCAAAUAACCCAGGAAUCCAGAGCUCAUAUAUGGGUCAGAGUUCAGCUUCAAGUCUGAGAUCACCCUUUGCUGGCUCACAAUGAGCUGGUUUAGAACUCCUUGAGCUUCCCAGGAUUUGCACUGGGAUCCAAUUUUUUUUUUUUUUUUUUUUGCCUUGGAUGCUUGGAUCUGGGACUGUGGUUUGUACCAUUCGAGACAGGAUAUUCAGAUCCAGAGAGUUUACAUCUAGAUUUCAUCCGAGAUGUCUCUAGUUAUGAGCACAUGUAGAGGAAGAGAAACAGCAUAAAAAAGGUGACUGAAUUCCUCAGUGCUCCGGAAGUGUUCAUGUUCAGUUUCGUUUGUAUUUGGACAGAGAUUUGAACUAAUUUUCAAAUUAGUUAAACAGACUGCCUCAUUAUGUCUUAAUCUAAACUGGACAUCUUUCUAAACAGAUGCUUUUAAAAGUGCUGCUAUAAACUAAAUAUAAAUUACUGAUGUGUUGCAGGAAUUGCUAAUUCAGAAUCUAUGGCUCAUGGUAUUUUAGCAUUUCCACUGGAUGAUAUAUUGGCUAAAUCUUUAAGAUGAUUAAGAGGAAGACAUGAAUGAAAGUAACUGCAGAUGGUCCUCAAGCUGCUGGAGUGCUACAUCCAGAUUUCAGAUAGACCUCCAGCCGUUUAGGCUCUCAUUAUGCAAAGCAAAGGUUGCCCCAGAAUUAACUUUUAUUGCAAGCCCCCUACAAGACUUUGACCACCCAAAUAUCUACUAAGAAAACUUUUGCAGCAUACCAAUUAAUUUUCAUUUAUGCCACACUUCAUUAUAUGCAGUAAAUAAGCAUAAAUAGCAAACGACCAACAAGAGUCUUUUUGUCUACUACCCACAUGGGAGUCAUCUAACCUUAAUAGGGAAGAUGUGCUUUUGGAGUCCAACCAUGCUAGUAGUAGUCUUUCUACAUUUGCUUUUCCUUAAGAAAAUGCAGUUUAUACUCUUUGCCACUGAAUAAAUGGUUCUAAUUAUCUGAAACAUUUUGCAUUUUUUUCCAGUAUUUUAUCACUGGCUUCCAAAAAGCCUGGACUUGAAACAGGGUCUUGAAGCUCUGCAUGACCACAGCCAUUGCUCUUAUCCAGCUUAACCUUGCCCACCUCAGGGACAAUUUACAGCUAUUUGAUCUGUUAUGUAAAAUACAUCAAAGGUUAUUGACCUAUUGCCUCCUGCAGUCCCACAUGUUCAGACAGGAUAUUCCAGGGUUGCUUUAGUUCAAGUGAGCAAUAAUAUUUUCUAAAAGUAGCCCCAGUGAAAGUUGUAGGGCUGGCUACUUGUUUAGGAAAGUAAUAUUUCCUGUGUACAAGUACCAGCAUCCAACUUGGGAUAAUGGUGCUGUCUCGAUGAAAACACCUGACAGGGAAAUUCUGCCACUGGUAAAAAACAAACAAACUGAAAUCCCCGAAACAACAACA